UUCAUAUACUGAAUUUAUUCAAUAUUAAUGAAGUAUUAUACAAUUCCUUCGAUCAGACUCUGCGACGUGAUGAUUAAGAUUCGAUCCUCGCCGGUCGGAAGGAAGAUAAGUGGACCAGUAAAAGGUUUAGAGAAGAGAGAGAGGUGAGGUAAAAGGAAGAAAAAUUGAAGGAAAUUUCAGGGAAGCGUUGUGCCUAGGAGGGAGAAGAGUUGCGAGUGAGAAUUUAGAGUUAGAAGGUGAGAAAAACCUGAGAGAUUUGAAAAAGAAGCAGCAGUGUUCAAAAGAGGGAAAACAGCGAAUGGGAGAGUGAGGAAUAGGUGAAGAAUAAAGGCAGAAAGAAAAGACUGGAACCCGUUUGUUCCAAUCCUCAGGGGAGAGAGGGAGAUUGAGGAAACAAGGAGGUCGACGGAAAAGAGGGCGGUAAAUCGAUUCGCGAGGGACGAGGGACGAGGGACUAGGAGAGAGGAAAGAGGGCUCGAAGGGGGACAGCUACUGCAGGCAAACACCACCCGGAAACAGGAGGUAAGACGAAUUGGGGAUUCAAACCCCGAAUUUGAGAUUCGUACUUUUAAGUAGUUAUUGUGAGUCUGAUUCUAUGCUUGUGUUGGGAGUUGAAAGAGAAAUCUUAGGAAACGGGUGAGUCUUAGCCGGAUGCCAUUCGGGGAAAUCAUAAAGAGCGAACUCUGGGAGAGGAGAAUAUCUACCCGAGUGGAGUGAAAAGUUAGGCAGAGAUGAGCUAUUGAAAAGUGACGAUUUCGGGGGGAAUAACCUGGGGUUUCCUGUUGAAGUGGAGGGUGAGGUUUUUGAGAACGAAGCAAAA